rnacentral:misc_RNA from 1 species
GUGAAUCAUCAAAUUUUUGAACGCAAAUUGCACUCUCCUCUAAGAGGAUGCCUGUUUGAGGGUCAGCCUAUAAAAAAUCGACAUCGUUGCUGUUUCUCGGGGGCGUUCGUCGUAAAUUGGGUCAUCUUAAAUCUUUUGGCUUUAAGCGACUUGAAAUUUUCUUUUUAGUCCCAUAAACGUUUCUAAGAUUUAUUUCUUUACACGUUUAAGUUAUCGAUUUUUAUUAGACGUGACCAUCAUAUCGGAGCGC